CUGCCCUCUGCUCCGAAGAAUGAGCAAGUUGAUCCUAAGGAUGCAGGAGGCACAAUUUUCUGCGGGAGGAAGGAUGACGGUGCCUUCCAGCGCGCCGACACCCGUGCCCCGCUCCCAGGCAAUGGCUCAGGCUGGGAACAAGACCCAAUGGAAGGCGUUUGGUCCGGAGCACAGAAUCCUCACAGGCCCGCAGGCUCGGAAAACAAGGUGUCUGGCCCCGCCCUCUGGGUUAAUUGCCCUGGGCGGGGCUUGGGCGGGGCCUGAGCCGCCCUGGUAGUAAAAGCAGGUCCUCGGCCAUCUCAGCCUAGGCUGGAGGAGCAGGGUGGAGGCCAGGCUCCUCGGACCCUGCGGGCGCUGGUUGGUCAGCAGGGCUCGUACCCAGCCGAGCUCCCUGGGGAGUUGGCCUGCUCUCCGACCUCUCCUGAGUGGCCAGGAUCUAGAUCUGCUGAAAGAUGUAAUUUGAUAGGGGAGUAGGGGCUCCAUGUUGGCUUUUGUUUCCAGCAGCUACUUCUGGAGGGCCCCGCAUCUCAAAGGUAUGGGACUUACUCAGGCAUGAGUGAGAUUUCCAUUCUGGUUUUGCUGGUGUGAUGUUCCUGCGUGUGUGUGCGUUUUCUCUGAUGGCCAGAGUUUCCCGGUUGAGGGGGUACAGCAGGGUGGGACACCCCCCACCCCCACCCCGUGUAUCUGGUUCCCUGUCAAGAUGUAGUCCCAUGGUAAUAUAUCAAAACCCCACUUCCCACCUGACACACGUGGGAAGCCCCUCUGUUCAGGCAUGCCCAAUCAAGCUGUUUUCCUUUCCUGGGUUUGUGUGUAGGUCUCAGAUGCCUCUGCUCCCAUAUUCGCCUCCGUUCCUGCAUUCAGUGACUCGGCUUUGCUGGGACCAUGGGAUACCCUGGAUCUGGAGGAUGCCAGUUGUAUUUUCAGAGAAUGAAAGAGAAGCUGAAUCCUACAAUCAUGAGGGGGCAUUUCCGUCCAGACCCGGAACGUGGCGUGCUGUGGCCCUGGGCGCAGAGGAGGAGGUGACCUGUUCAGCUCUUCCUGCUGCUCUCCUGGAAUUCAGACUUGGAAUCACUGCCAAGAACUGGUCAUCGUUGUGUUCUGAAGACAUAGGAGGGAGAAGCUCUCAACAGUUUUCUUUGUUCUGA
rnacentral:lncRNA from 1 species